GCCCGGUUAGCUCAGUUGGUAGAGCAUCAGACUUUUAAUCUGAGGGUCAAGGGUUCAAGUCCCUUAUUGGCG
rnacentral:tRNA from 1 species